UACGUAGGGGGCAAGCGUUGUCCGGAAUCAUUGGGCGUAAAGAGCGUGUAGGCGGCCAGAUAAGUCCGCUGUGAAAUCUCGAGGCUCAACUUCGAGCUGUCGGUGGAAACUGUCUGGCUAGAGUCCGAAGAGGAGAAUGGAAUUCCUGGUGUAGCGGUGGAAUGCGCAGAUAUCAGGAAGAACACCCGUGGCGAAGGCGGUUCUCUGGGACGGUACUGACGCUGAGACGCGAAAGCGUGGGGAGCGAACAGGAUUAGAACCUCCGAGUC
rnacentral:rRNA from 1 species